rnacentral:lncRNA from 1 species
GCAAGGCACCCCUUCCCCCCCUUUGGCCGCCGCCCCCCUUGGAGAUCCCAUCUCCCUGGGCCGGCGCCCCCCCCCCCCCAGGGGGCCUAUAUAAAGGGGGGGAGGGAGGGCAGCAACCUACAGCCUUGGGCGCCUCCCUCCUCCCCUGCAACACCUCUCUCUCUCGCAGAAGCUUGGCGAAGCCCUGCCGGAGACCCGCUACAUCCACCACCACGCCGUCGUGCUGCUGGAUCUCCAUCAACCUCUCCUUCCCCCUUGCUGGAUCAAGAAGGAGGAGACGUCGCUGCACCGUACGUGUGUUGAACGCGGAGGUGCCGUCCGUUCGGCACUCGGUCAUCGGUGAUUUGGAUCACGGCGAGUACGACUCCGUCAUCCACGUUCAUUGGAAGGCUUCCGCUCGCGAUCUACAAGGGUAUGUAGAUGCACUCCUUUCCCCUCGUUGCUAGUAGACUCCAUAGAUGCAUCUUGGUGAGCGUAGGAAAAUUUUAAUUAUGCUACGAUUCCCAACAAGAAGAACGCAGGGUGUGGAGCGGGCGGAAAGUUUAUGGGGAGUGGUGGCAUAGAGGUUGGGAUAGCACAAACAGCCAAACGUGCGAAUGUGGUCGUAGUUGGGAUGAGCACCGUAAAGCAUGAAGUAGGGGGUGUUGUGGUGGAUGGCUCGGGAGGGUCGUAUAUUGAGGAGGUAUGUGGCAGUGUGAAGGGCUUCUACCCAAAAUUUGGGGGGCAUGCUGGCUUGGACAAGGAGUGUGCGAAGUAUGUCGUUUGUGGAGCGGAUGGCGCGCUCAGCUUUCCCGUUUUGUGGUGAUGUGUGCGGGCAGGAGAGGCGUAGGGCAGUGCCAUGUUCACUUAGAGAGGAGCGGAGAGAGAUGUUAAGAAACUCGCCGCCGUUAUCGCACUGGAGGCUCUGGAUGUAGACAUGGAAUUGUGUGAGCACGAAGCCAAAGAAACGUUUGAGAACGUCAGUAGCCUCGGAUUUGGCACGGAGGGGAAAAGUCCAUGCGAAGUGGGAAAAAUCAUCCAUUAUUAUUAAGUAAUAUUUGUAGCCAGAGCAACUAGGGACGGGAGACGUCCAAAGAUCACAGUGUACAAGCUGAAAAGGAAAACUAGUGACAGAGGUAGAAGAAGAAAAAGGCAGGCGCGGCUGCUUCCCUAAUUGGCACGCCUCACAUGAUCCAGAGGCGGCAGGGAGUUUAUUACAAUCUGGAAGAAAAUGUUGUGAUAAACGGGAAAGAGAGGCACUGCCGGGGUGCCCCAAACGGCGAUGCCACAGGUCGCCGGAGUUGGUGUAGAACGCCGAAGAGAUGGAUGCCCCGCUUCUGUAGAGGGGACCGAAACUAGUGCGCCUCAUGAGGGGGGUCCUGGUGGCUAGAUCCUUCACAGAAAAACCGAGGGGGUCAAACUCAACAGAUACAUUAUUAUCAGUGGAUAGUUGACGGACAGAGAGUAGGUUUUGAACAAUAUCGGGUGCCACGAGAACAUUAUGAAGCAGCAAGGGGCGAGAGGAUGUGGGGAUGGAGGCGGUGCCGGUGGCAACUACAGGCAGACGAGUGUCGUCGCCAACGAUGAUGGGAGCAUGCUGUUUUGAGACAGGACGAGAAGUGGCGAGGUUACCUGCAUUACCAGUGACGUGCGAGGAGGCACCGGAAUCAAAGAUCCAGUCACCGUUGCCGUUGCCGGGCUGCUGGAGAGACAGCUGGUUCAUGGCGGAGUAGAGCGCCGCCUGAUCCCAAGAGGGUUGGGGUGGCGCGUUGGGUCCAGCGUACAGCGCGGGGUAGGCAUGCUGGGCAGCACCGGGGCGAGGCCCGAGAACCCCGGCUGCGUUGGGGGGAACCCAGGGAGCGCGCGGCGGCGGGAAGGGCGUCCCCCACGGCGCGAAGUAGCCCAUCCACGGAGUGGAGCCGCCGGGAGAGCAGGCGGACCGCGCCCGCCGUUGUAGCCGCGCCCGCGCCCGCGGCCACGCCCGCGUCCACCGUUGUGCCCGCGGCCGCGGUCACCGGCGCUGCUGUUGCCGCGCUCCAUGGGAGGCUUGCCGCGCUGAGGUGCACGGCCUGGGCAGGUUGGUUGGCGAGGAAGAAUUCGUGAAGUUGGCUCUAGACGCGAUGCGCGGUGUUGCCGGCACCGCGGAUAACCUCGUACAGGCCGUCGGCGAUGGUGGAGUAGAGCAGGAGCAGGAGCGUCAGAUCGGUGUGGUGCCACGCCGGAGUUUGGAGCAGUGGGUCGGAGUAGUGGUCGACAUGGCUCUCGACGGAGUACAUGAGGAGGACGCAGCGCCAGAGUUCACGCCACUUCGAAUAGCUGCCGGUUUGGACAUCCAGCUUGAAGGGGAUGAGGUUGUGGAUGUUGUUGAGGGUGUGGAUGGAGGGGGUGGUGGUGGCAGAGGACGACGCUAUGUCAGGGAGGGUGGGAGGCGACGGCAGGGUCACCAGGCUCAUGGUGCUAGGGGCGGUUGCUGGCGGAGCCGUGAGGACGGGGGUGGAGAGGUCAGAGGAGGGGAGCACAGGAGCGGGAGGGGGAGGGGUGGAGCCCGUCAGGUCGCCGCUCGAAAGGCCGCCGGAGCCGUCGCCAAUGUCCAUGAGAGACAGGGACAGGAAAGAGAGCUCUGAUUACCAAGAUGGAGAAUGAAUACACUGGUGAUUCUCAUUGAUGCCCACGAAGGGGUUAAUAUACAGGUACAGGGGCUGGUAACAACCCAGCUAUACAGGAGGUCAUGCACAUCGUGUAACAGAAAAGGAGGGCACGUCCGGUGCAUGAACUACGUGGGACUCGGUCCUCUAGUUGAGCCAGCAACGGUAGUCUUCCAACAGAUGAGAACACCGAACUGAUUCCUUUAGUUGCUGCCUCUGCAGAUUUGUGUGCCCCCUUUCAGUAGUUCAACCUGGGUAGGAUUUGAACAAAGGUUGAUGUGAAAUAUAGCAAAAAAUGAAACAAGUUAGCAUCAUAUAUAUGGACGAAGGGAGGUAUGGAGUAAUGAAACUGAAACGGAGAGGGCUAAGAAUAGAGAGAUCAACCAGGGGAAUCCGUCGAACAUGUGGUGGCCUGGUGGGCAUCCACACACUACAUGGUGCAUCCUCUACCACCGCACUCCCCUAUGUGCUCACACGCCGCGCUGCCACGGUUGUGUGCAUCAUCAUCGCGUAGAGGAACAACAACACGACCUUUCUGUCUGUGGCUGAAUGAAAGAACGACGGCGACUUCUGUCGCGGAGGAUGGCGCCCCCGGUCCCUGGCGUGCAAAAAGAACAUCGGCGGGGAGUCGGCGGCGCAUAGCCGCACGGAGGGACGGCCACGGGGGUCGCGGAUGAUGGUGCCCCCGGUCCCCGGUGAGCAGAGGAAAAGCGGCGGCGGGUCGGCGGCACAUCGGCCCGUCCCCCCUGUGGCGGAGGUGCUGCUCGGCCGCCGGCGUCAGCCGGGGGCGUGCUGCAGGCUCUGCUCACGGCGGCAUGUCAGCCCCAGAAAAGCGGAGGGUGUCGGGGCCGUGAAGGGGCCGAGCGGCGUCGAGCGCCCGCGAGGGCAGGCGCGGCGGCGGGGUCAGGCGCGGGGCGGCGAGGGCAGUCGCGGGGCGGGGCGGCGAGGGCAGGCGCGGCGGCGUCGGUUGGGCAGAGAACAGGGGCGUGGGGGCAUGGGGCGUGCGGGAAUGCGGGAUUGCAUUUUUUUAAGAGAGUUUCGCUCUGAGGAACAGCAGUGGCAGCUUGUGUGCGUGGGUUGCAGAAUGGAAUGGAGUGUUUCAUAUCGAGAACGCUUGCUGAUACGACAUCAAGUAUUCCCACCGAAUUUCCUCAACAAAAUGCACUACAUGCUAGUCCUAGAUGGUACACUCACAUAAACAAAGCCAAGAUAGUUCUACCCAGCAGCAAAUUACAUCGGCAAACGGUUGCGGGAGCAAGCUUAUCAAAAUGUGACAAUGACCUUGGCCCUGGUAGACGCCCUCGGCAGAGCUAAUAGCUUGGCAAGAACCAUGCUACAUUCCAUUUCACCCUUCCAGUCUAUCUUCAGUUCUUCUAAAGCUGGUGCCCAGCUUAGUAGCUUUGCCACGAAAUCAACUUCGCAGUCCAGACCCCCGAAAUGGUUCACACUAGCCAUUACGAGAUGGUCCAUUUGCAAUUGCAGGUUAAGUCCUUGAAUGCCCACCUGAUCCUCAUCCCGACCAAGGAUGCUCCAAGGAAAACUCUGCAUUUUUUUUCACAACUCGUUAGCCAUAAACACAACGAACAAACAUGGAUCAGGUGAUCGAACAAGGGGGGAGAGUUUACUGGAGGCAUACUUACCCACAUCUCAAGCUUCUUUAAGUUAGGGGCGUUCUGAAACAAUGAACAUGCAGUCAAGACUUGCCUCUGACCCCACAAGCAUAUCAUAAUACGAACACUCUCCAGGUGAGUAGACACGGCAGGGAGCUUCGUAUGUAUGCAUCCUUUUGAUAGAUACUGCAACAAUAAAAUAAUAAUAAUAAUAAUAAUAAUAAUAAUAAUAGAUGGCAACACAGAUUAGUCAGAGGCAGAAGAAGGCCAUAGUAAUGCUGGAGAUAAUAAUAGCUCACCUUUAGGAAAAAACCAUUAAUUGUAAGUGUUUCAAUGACACUUAGGCUACCCAAGGACUGCUUGACAUAGCUUUCCUUGUCAUGCGCAAUUGGAACAGAUUGAUACGCUUUAUCAAGAGAGAGAAAGGCCACCUCCAGAUUAGGUGCGUCCAACUUAAUGUCCUCAAAAUCCCCUUCAACAUAAAGAUAAUCCAGUUUAGGAGCCUUAAUGUUUAGACGGUUGAUGCCCUCAAAAGAAUCUAAUAUCAAAUCAGUCAGUGCGGGGCAGAACGAGAUCAAAUUUUGGAUAUCCUUGUCUGUGGAGGAGAAGAGUUUCAGGGUGAGGUCAGUUAGGCUCUUGAAACCUUGGAAUGCCCGAGGCAAGCUGAUGAUGCAGUUUUCUAGGUGCAGAUACUCCAGAUCACCAAUAGAAAAGAGGCACGAGGGAAUCUUAUACCUUGGCCCCGAGUUCAACUUGAUUAUAACUGAUUUUGGUGAUUUCCUUGACAGCAUGAUCAUCCACCUACCGAACUCAUCAUGGUAAUUUUUGUUACCUGAAAUAUCAAACUCCUCUAUUGUUCCCUUGUGAAGUAAUAGCACCAUAUCGACUAACGUAACGAACUUGGUUCUUGCAAGAUUUCCAUCGCACAGAGAUAUUACUGGCAUGUCAGUCCAUGCAUCCCUCCAAAUACUUGAUAAGGUACUAGUCCUAACCGCUUCUUCGACAUUCAAACGUGAGAGGAUGUCGCCCUUUAUCUCUGGAGGUAGAUUGCUAAGUCUGUCUGUACUCACAACUGAUGCAGCUUCCGCCCUGGCCUUUUUACAGGUACUCAUUGCUUCAGAAUCCAUAUUAAACUGUCCUAGAAUUUCCGGAAGACAGGGAGCCUAAAUUAGCGUGCAGUCUACCACAUGUCACUAAAAAAGUAAAAAUACAAUACACGCAAAAAAUCAAAUUGUGCACUGAGUAGUAGCUUGUUCCUAGCAAAACAACAAAUAACCAACAACCAAGAGAUGGGAAUUUAGGGAGAAGUGCGGACAGUAUGUUUCUAUGCGUUGCUAUGAUUAUCAUUUGACAUGUGUUACAAGACCUAGCUAAUUUGUGAUCUUGAAGAGUAAACAUGUACCAGGCUGCAAGAUGGAAAGGGGCUUCUUUUGUUGAAUACAUGUGCCAUCAUUUGAGGAAGAGGUGAUUAAACUUGUGCCGAUUGGACAAACAAUUUAGGGUAUAUAAUUGAGAUGCCGUCAGCGUGGCCAAAUGAUCAAAUGCAAGUCUAGUUGAGGAUAGAGUCAAUUUACCCCAUACCAUAACCGGCCCUCUUUUCUUAACCUAGAUGUGGACUUGCACCCAAAUUAUUCAGGAGCAACACGUGUUCAGUUCCAACAUUCACUCUAAGCAUGAUCGAGACGUACUAACGUAAAUCCGUGUACUAAAUACUAUAGUGCGUACUACUCCCUCCGUUCCUAAAUAUAAGUCUUUGUAGAGAUUUCAGUAUUAACCACAUACGGAUGAAUCUAGAUGCAUUUUAGAGUAUAGAUUCACUCAUUUUGCUCCGUAUGUGGUCCAUAGUGGAACCUUUCCAAAGACUUAUAUUUAGGAACGGAGGGAGUAGGUUCCGACUGAAAAUUAACCAGUAUUACUAUUUCUUAGCGAAUGAAAGAAGCUAGUCGUCAUUACUCACGGAGGAAGCAUGUUUCGAUACUUGAUGAAUCCACAGCAAACCGGUCUCGAAUUUCAAAUACGCAGUAAGAAUCUAGCGGACAGGGGGCAAAGCGGACCUACGGAGGGCCGGAGAACGGAGAAAGGCGGCGCCGCCCGCCCGCUGCGGCCUUGGACGCUGCCGCCGGGACGGAGCGCGGAGGCCAGAGGGGCACGGAACGAAGGCAGCACGCCGGAUGCCUCCGCCGCCGCGCCGCCGGCCGCCGCGGCCGUGCCGUGUCUAGGGUUCCAAUUUAGCGGAGGAAACGCCGAAGUGGUCUGCGACUCCCUCCGCCACCCGAGCGCACUUUGGGCGGCCCAGAGCGGGCGCCCCUUUUUUCUUUUCAUUUUUCCGUUUUUCUUCUCUCUUUUUGUUUUCGUACGUACAUCAUUAAAAAUCGUUUGGGAUUUACAAAACAAUCGAUCCCAAAUGUUUGGAUGUUUGAAUUACAAAAAACUGUUUUAUGAAUUUGGUAAAAAUCAUUUGAAUUGCAAAAAUGUUCACAAACUCGAUUUUUUUAUAUAUUUUAAAAAACUUCACAAAUUUUAAAAAUAUACCCGGGUUUAACAAAAUUGUACAUGAAUUUGAAAAAAAUCAGGUUUUUACAAAUGUUCAAGAAUUUGAAAAAUGAUCCCGCAUUUCCAUGAAUCUAAAAAAUGUUCUAAGGGUUUUAAAAAUUAUUCACAAAUCUGAAAAUUUUAUUCCUCCAUUUUUUAAAUGUUCACAAAUUUGAAAAUGGUCCUAGAUUUCAAUAAAUGUUAAAAUCAUAAAUGUUUGUGAAUUGGAAAAAUGUUCCUGGAUUUCAAACAAUAUUCGUGAAUUUUAAAAUUGUUCCCGUAUUUAAAACAACAUUUCAAAUUUCAAUAAAUAUUCACAAAUUUUGAAAUUGUUCCCAUAUGGAAAAAAGGAAAACCACAAAUGAAACAAGAAAAAACAAAAUAUAAAAACACAAGAGUAAAAAAUUACCCGAUCUAUAUAGAACCUUGUCAAAACCGGAAGGGAAGUGUCCUUAAACAGUUCUACCGAUGACUAAAAUGGGUCGACCCAGAUAAGAGAGGAUGCGACGCGGGGGUACGCGUUACAUGUCUAUCCACCGAGCUACACACUAAAAUGGUCAUGAUUGUCUCACUUCACCAGGUUUUCGAGCUCCAAUGACGUGCUUGUUUGCUCUUCUGCUUCCCUUGACCUUCCUCUUCACCCUCGCCUUUCGUCUAUGGUGCCUAUAAGCUAGUCUUUGGUUACCCUUAAUUCGCAAUAGCAACCUUCGAGUUUCACAGCUUCAUGAUUGAUGUAAGCUAUACCGAGAAGACCAACACAAUGUUUUUUUCUCUUCUUUUGACUUUUUUCUCAAUACAUCAUGAUAAAUGGCAUUACAAUAAUUUUGGAGUACACAAUAUAUCUAUUUUUACUUUUGUUUUUUUGUCUAUGGAAAUGGAUCCCAAAACCUCCAACCACCUAGAUAGGAGUAUUCGGAGUAGAAUGAAACCAAAUCAUAGCGACUAAAUCAUGGGGUGGGGUCUUUGCCGAAGCCCAUGAGAACAUGAGUGAGCAGCAUGGCUCCCCGGCGGCUCGUCUGCGCCAGCCGUCCCAACAACGGGAAGCUCACCGUCUCCCUGUUCUUGAGAGGCUUCUUGUCCCACCUGCAUAUGCAUUAUAACAAUUAACACACUAACUAGCUAGAUGGUAGCAUCUCGAUGAUUAGGUUUGGUGACAGAAAACAUCGAGCUUGUUGUAGCUUACCAGUCCUGGUGCCUGACGACCUUGCCAUCCUCAACGUCGAGUGUGAUGAGGGACUCUAGGUCAACAUCCUUGCCAAAGACCUUGUAGUGUUGCUUGUUGUCUAUCAGUAUCUGCAGUCAUGCACCACCCAUUGUAUUGAUAUUCCGAUCACGUUUGUAAAGUAUGUUCAUCGUUACUAUACAAAGUAUAUGCGUGGCUACGAUCGAAUGCAGAAGGGUGAUGUCCAAAUGAGUUGAUUACCUGGGAUUUCCCCGGUCCGGUCGCGUUUUCCUUUAUCGUGUACUCUACGAUCUUGGACUCACCGAAUACCUGACGACGCACGAGUCUUUGGAUUAGUUUAUGCAAUAACAUCGAAUGUAUAUCAAAAAGAAAGAAUAAACACCCAUGAAUAAAGCAUAUGAAGGUGCAUAUGUACCUUAGGCAUCGUGUAGAAGGCUGAUUUGAUCUGCUUGACGCUGCGAUCAGAUCGAACAGAAUUCGAUUAAAGAAGGCACAUGGAUGAUGGAUCAUAUGGAGAAGAAAUUCAGGCAACAACAAACUCAAUUGCAUACCCAUGGGCACGCAUAAGCGGGUCCUCGAACGUGGCAUUGGGCGCGUACAUCUCGAAGUCCCGUGCCGUGGCGCAUGAUCCGUAUCUGCGGUGAUUUGCCAUGAGCGCCGCGGUGAAAGACUAUUGAAAAAAUUACAUAACUACGGAAUGAUUCGAAAAAUAGUGGAGCUGGAUAAUUAUGUAGGUAUAUAUAUAUAUACUCCCAAGUUCAUUGGAGAGAUAAAUCAAUUAGCAAUUACUCGUAUUUGACCGUGCAUGGUGAAUUGCUUGCUCAACUUAACUGAACAAUGAGCAAUUAUCAAUUACAGUAGCAAUUUGGCAGUGCAAGCUGAACUUUUGCGUUUCUGACAUUGAAUCGAAGCGUAUAAAUAAAGUUAAGCUGGGACGCAUGGACAACACAAGCAGAGCAAUAGAGCAGAGCAGAGGUUGAUUUGAGCAGUUAGUAGUUACAUGUUGAGGAGAUGCGGCAUGAUGCGCUCGGACACGCCCCCGCCCGCCGCCGCCUGCGUCGACGCCUUCGCUCCCGCGGCCGCCGCCAUGCCUGCCGUCGUCGAGAGCGAUCUCUGCCUCGCGGGCGCGAGGGCAGCAGAAGCAGCGGCUGCGCGGAGGAAGAGGGCAGACGGGGCGGACGGCAGGAGCAGUCGCAGUCGGGAGGCGGAGGUGGCGCAGAGAGCGGGGGAUGGCAUGCGAUGCGAGCAGACGCGCGCGCGGUGGUGAGGAGAGAAGGCGAAACAGGGGAGGGUACCUUGGCUAGCUAGUUGUAGACGAAAGGGAAAGGGUGGAGUUGAAAUGUACUAGUUGCAGUAGCAGAGCCGCGUCCGUUCCUUGGUUGACGGCGUGCGCGGCGGAGGACGGCGCCACGUCGGCCGGCCGAUCUGGUGGCGGGCACCGCCUCCACGACGCCGAGCGGCCACGGCCAACCUCGUGUUCGGGCCUAUCAGCUCGCUGACCGGGGGUUCUCAAGGCCUACUAAUAACAGGUGCAUCCCAUUCAAUUAAGCUGCGCUUUAGCUCGCUAGGCCUGGCAUAAUUUCAUGUUUUUUUGCUUUCUUUUUUUCGUUUGUACUUCCAAAUAUACUAAAUAAAUAUAUUACAAGCAACACUUUCCAUACAAAUAUUUGAAAAUAUAUUAACGUAGCAUUUGAAAAAAUGUUAAAUUUGUAUAAAGAAAAAAUGUUUCCCAUGUAUACACAAAUUUUAGAAUGUGUGUGAAAAAAAGUUGAUUAUAUAAUUAAAAAAUGUUUAUCAAGCCUUUGAAAAAUGUUGAAUAAGUAUAUGAAUUUUCUUAAUCAAGCAUUUGAAAAAGGGUUUAACGUUUAUAGACAAGGUGUUGACCAUGUAUUCAAAAAGUAUUUAACAUGUAUUUAGAAAAUCUUAAGCAAACAUUUAAAAAUGUUAAAUGUGUAUUAAAAAAAUCUUGACCAUGUAAUCAAAAAAGUCAAUGUUGUAUUGAAGUAAAAAAUGUUAAACUUGAAUUUGAAACAUUGUAAUCAAGCAACAAGCGUUAAAUUUAUAUAGGAAAAUUGUAGACCAUGUAUUAAAAAUUAGUUGAUCUUUCAUUUUCAAAAAUGUCCAUCAUGCAUUUGAAAAAAAAUGUGUAUAGAAAAAAUGUUGACUAUGCAUUAAAAUGUUAAUCUUGAAUUAAAUCUUUUUAAUUAAGUAUUUUAAGAUUUUAAAAAUGUGUAUAAAAAUAUUGACCAUGUAUUCUAUAAAUGUUGAACUUGUAUUGAAAAAUAUUAAUCUUUUACUUAAAGCGUGUAUAGAAAAAUGUUGACCAUAUAUUCAUAGACCGAGGAAGAAACAAAGAAAAAGAUACAAUAAUGAUGAAAACCAACAAAGAAAGAAAAUAAAAACGAAGAUAGAAAACCAGAAGUGAAAGAAAAGCAAAAACCCAUCAAAACCAAGAAAGAAACAAAGAAAUACAAGAAAAGGCAGUGAAAUCUGUGAAAAACAAAGAAAACAGGUGGAAAAUAACGUAGGAUUGAAGAAAACCGUUCAAGAAAUAGAGAAAACCGAGAAAAAGGAAACGAAAAGGGAAAAACCCUGGAAGAAACCACCAUGAGCGAUCAUCUCGAUCGGAAAACAACAAACGAAAAAACAGAUGAAAAACGGGACACCCUAGUUCUGUAGCGGGUGUGAAAAUGUGUCAGGCGAGACAGAAGAAACACCCGCUAUAAACAAGAUACAGCCUUUGCGGCGCCUAUACCUCGCUUCAGGUUGGAGCGCUCGCCUCAAGCGCAUACGCGAAUGGUCCGGCCAAGCGCGGGGGGCAUGAAGCUCUCAUUUUUUCGCGUUUUUGGUUUUUGUGUUCUGUUUUCAUUUUUUACUUUUAUUUAUAUUUACAAAUAUAUAUAAAAAAUUAAUGUUAAUCAAGCAUUUAGAAAUGUUAAACAUGUAUAAAAAAUGCUUCUAAUGCAUAAAAAAUGCAGAAUGUUUAUGAGAAAAGUUGACAUCAAUAUAUACGUUUGAAAGUAAUCAUGUAAUGGAAAAAUGUUAACACGUAUGUAAAAAGAUAUUUUUAAUGUAUAAAAAUGUACAAGGUGUGGGGAAACAAGUAGACAUCAAAAAUAAAUAUUUUAAAAAUUGUUAAUCAUACAUUAGAAAAAUGUUAAACAUGUAUAUAAAAAAUGAUGCUGAUGUAUAAGAAAAAUGUAAAAUGUGAUUCAAAAUAUUUGUUUGAGAAAAAAUGGUAAUCAUGUAUUGAGUAAUGUUAAAACGUAUAUCAAUUUAUUUUAUAUGUGUACAAAAAAUGUAUAAUGUGUGUGAAAAAACAAAUCGGCAACAAAAGAUAUAUUUCAAAAAAUCUUGAUAAUAUAUUUGAAGAAUGUUAAAGGUGUAUACCAAAAAAUUUGACUUGUGUAUUUGAAAUAAUGAUGACCAUGUAUUCAAGAAAGUGUUCAAAAAACAUGUAUCAAAAGAAAACACUAUCUGAAAAAAUGUUCGACGUGUAAAAAAAAUACAUUGUGUAUGAAGAUAAAAAAAUGUAUAUUGUGUACCAAAGGAAAUUACACAUGUGUAUGAAAAGAACAACGAUAGAAAUAGACAAAGAAACAUAAAGAAAAGCAAACAAAACGUAAAGAAAAAAGGAAGAAAGAUCAUAAGACUACACAUGUCGUAGAUUUCCUAAACAAUAUGUGUUACCUAUGUAGGUCUUGAGAUCAUGUUGCAUGGGCCCUUAAAUUGGACAACACGUAUAGAGUUCACCAUAGUAUAACAACUUACUAUACAGAUCAUAAGACUACAAACACAAAUGACGACAUAUAGACUAGGCACAAAUGAAUCUUACCACUCACCUACAUCUCCCACGCCGAGGGGAACUACUCACGCAUCAUAAGAAAAUAACCAAUCAUCUCAGGGGAUAAAACCAACAGAAAUCAUAUCAAUAACACCCGGAAGAUCCACAAUGAAAUGAAUGAUCCAAAUAGUCUUGAUCUCCAGAUGAGUGUGAAUAAAUUUUACAACUUGUUCUUACAAAUUGGAAUUCCUCUUACAAUAGUGAAGGAUGAAAUGAUGAUGGACAUGAAAGGACCAAAACUAAGAUCUCCGAUGGUUCUCCGGACUUCUUCUCUCUCUGUUCUGGUUGUGGUGGCGGCGGCUAAGGUUCUCCACUAUGUCUUUCCCCUUCAUGAGAGUGUCUCGUAUAGAUGUUGUGGAGCUCCUGGUGCCUCAUACGACCAUCCAUGUGAGUGGGUGUGCUCGCAUGGAAGGUUGUCUUUUGCUCUGCCGCACCUGGUGGCUUGGCCUCUAACACGGAAGUUGCUCCAUUUCAAUUAAAGGUCUAGUGGCUUGAUCAUUCUCCUUGGUUUCGUUCCAUAUAUUAUAUUUUCUGCCAAACAACGGAAAAACGGAGUUUCUUCUCAUUUGAAGGGUUAACGUUAGAAAUAACCGAGAAGAGGUAUGAAUCCGGUGAAAACCAAGUAAAAAUCACUUGCAAAUAAUCACAAAUUCUCGAUCCAUCAACUCCCUCAAGGUUAAAACUAGCUCGCCCUCGAACAACUAAGAAAUCAAGAGAAUGAAGUCGAUAUUCUUAUAAGAACAAAUGUGAACAUGAGUUUUGGAAGAGAAGAAAACAUGAUACUCAAACAUUUAUUCCUCCAAAUAAUUAUAUCAAUCGGUAGCAUCAAGACAAUCAAAUUUAAUACUAUGUAGUUGAAGAGCUUGGGUGAUGGUUCUCUUCGAAAAUCCGAGGCAGUAAGUAUUUCAAAUUUUGAUUUUUGGAGGAAAAUCAUGCUUCACAACAAGUUUCACUUGCAUAUGUGAUGAGAGGUACGAACAAAUUUAAUGCAAACUUAUUUUUUCGCUCUUCCAGUCCUAAUUUUUUGAAAAAUUCCGCGGAAACCGUAUCAUAUAAUGUACUAACUUGUUUUUUUUCUUCUAUCUUAGUGCCCACUAAUUAUGAUUCAUGUAGUUUUUCUCUUCAGAUCGAUUCAAAUGGGGUCGGCCAAACAUGCUUGAGUCGUAGAGCGAAUUAAAAUAAAUAAAAAAGUUAUACCAAACAUUUGUACUUAUUUAAGUGUAUUUUUAUUGUACUAGAACAAUGCCCGUGCGUUGUAAUGGGAUAUAAAUAUUCUAAUACGUUGGCUUGUGGUUUAUCUAUCAAUAAUAAUGCUAAAUGUUCAUCAAAUUGACUAUGAAUUACCUUAUAUUUUGAUUAAUAGUUUGGUAAGAAAAUUAACGUGAAAUUGGUUCAAAAGGUAAGUAAAUUAAGGUGAUUGAUUAUCAUAUACAUGGAAGGUUGGACGAAGGGAUGGUGGAAAGAAAGGUGAAAUGGGAACCUUACAUUCUUUUUAAAUAUUAGAGAGUAGAGAUUACAGUGUUGGCGAGUAUAAUUUCUAUCACGUAGUUCACAUAGUUAAGCAUAUAAUAGUAUUUUUGUGUGUGCAACCACGUAACAAUGUUGUUAAAUAUUAAUUGUAGUGUUCUCUGUUAUUAGUUCGAAUGUAUUUUACUUAAAGCUUCAUUUCAGCUAAAUUUAAAUUGUGUGAUUCAAUAAAAUUAACCUUCCAAUUACUUUUGACAAAUACAUACUUCAUAUGAUGCAUAUGUAUAUUUUUUAUGCGUAUGUCUUCAUGUAUAUUAUAUCAGUAACUAUCUUGGUUGCGAUCUCUAAAGUGUAAUAUCUUUUACUAAUGGUUUCUAAUGUAUUGUUAGGUAAACAAAUGUAUAGAAUAUUCUAGAGUAUAAAUUGAAUUGUUUGUAAAUGUGAUACAAGUUAUGUUCAGCAAUAAGUUCACAAUAUGUGCAUGCUAUUUACAUGACAUUGAAAUACUAUCGAUUACCGGCGAGCAUAACAUGUUCCCGGUUCAAUUUUGCAUACAUUUUUAUUUUAUUUUUUAGUCUUAUCUAGAAGCCUGAUUUCUUCUUAUGUAUGUAGGCCCUCCUGCUAAUUUUCAAAAAAUAAAAGGUUUUGCACAAAAUUAAACACAGUAAGCUAGUUAAUAUAAAUUUUAGUACAACUGGCCGCACGUCUAUAUAUGUGAGAGACAAUGGUAAGCUCACUAAAUUUAUUGUCUCCUACAAGAUAUGGUUGUUCCUAUAUGGUAACAUCAUUGGUUCGUUGUGUGGACUUGCUCCUACAAAUUUUGGACUUUAAUUUUUUAAGUUUAUACUACAGUAAUCUUUUAGAUUUAACGAUAGUAGUAUACGGCCCUACUCCCCUGAGGCUCGGAGUGGUCGCCCUUUUUGCCCGGCCUAGGAUCCAGAUCUUAAACAAGAAUCAAGUUACAUGGAAGUGCAAAGCCAAGUCCACACACCUUCUCCAUUCUCACUAGUAUAAUUAUCAUGAGGCACCAAACAAGGGGUUGGGAUUAAAAGUCUAUUUUCCACAUCUAAAUCCCCUAGCAAACUCUCACCAUCAAGUCCCAUUCUGUUACAAGCAGUAUAAAAUUUGUCAUUAAUUUAAUUCCUCUCAUUAGUACGUACAGGAGCAGAAUAAACAUGCACAUGCAUUUCUUCAAAAGCAUGCAGACUAGUUCCAAUAAGGAACACAUCAAUAGCAGAAAACCAUUUAUAAUUAGAAUGCAAAGAACAACAUUACAUGAAGCGCUAGAACUGUCUACCAGGCUAGUGUCGACAGAGCAGUAAUACACGUACAUUAACAAAGUGCUACAGAAGCUACCGCACACAACAGACGUGGCUAAACACACUAGUGGCAGGAAAAACAGAACGUACUAUAAAACACUAGAAGGACCUUGUAUGAAAACGGCUAGAGCAUAUACAGAUUAAUCUAGUAUGAGCAAAGACCAGAUGCAACUUACAGACUAGACGUCGUUGCACUGGUGUUCGUCGAUGGAGUUUGCCGGAGACGAUGUUGUCGUGGACGUCGCCGAAGCAGCGGUCAUCGAGGACGUUGACGAAGGAGCGGUCGCGUGGACGCUGCCCAGAAAACUCUAGACCGCCCCCGUGCAGGGUAGAAGGAUGCGGUCGGAGUCACGGAGACACCACUCGCGGGGUUGUCAUUGCACGGUGGACAUCACAACCGGCUUCGUUCAGAAGGUUGCUCAGCACAAUGUCUAGUCGUUGCUUGAAGGAAUGCAUUACUACAAAUUCAAUGCUCUCAAGAUGUUGAAUGCAUUACGAAGAAAUGGACUGAGUACACAUUCAGUGCUCUCAAAAUGGAGAUUUUAUACAAGCAUUGCUACAACAUGUACAACCAGCCGCUCGAGGAUGACCCGUGAGCGCUACUCAUUUCUUUCUUUAUGUGCACAGCCCGCACGCUAAAUGUCCUACCUAACCCCUACUAUGGUUUUGUGUUUGCUCAGUACUCAGCUCGCAAAGGCGUGUCAGACCACAAAUUUCUUGCAUGAGGUCCUAAAGAGCAAAUACUUUCCACAAGAGACAUAAAUUAAGUUGGUCGUGACAACGUCAUUUCGAAAAGAAUCUGUUCCACAUGAAACAGAAACCGAUCAAGAGGUAAGUUCUAAAAGUGGUUGGUUAUCUAGACAGUACUAAGCCAAAUCUAUUUAGCAGUGGUAGUUUCUAAAUAAUAGUAAACCAAAUCUACUCAUCAACACUAGAUUUUGGCCAAUCUAUAUCUAUACCUACUAAUAAAGCAAGGUGCAUUUCUCCAAUUUUCCAUUCGUUCACCACCGAAAAUAUUCUUUUAAUAUCUGAGGUGGUACUAAAUUUUUGUGGUCCAUCUACUAGGAAAAAAAGAGUUCUGUCCAGAAUUUUGCACGUGGGCCCACCCGCGCUAAGGCCCAGAGAAUCCACCCAUUUAUAUCCUGCCCACGCAGCAGGGAAACCAUAUUUCUCGCACAGGGCGGCACAUAGUUUGAACUUCGCAUUGGUCGCCUAAUGUUGGGCCGACCCAUUUUCUAUUUUUCUGUGUUCUUUUCCUACUUUCUUUUUUCUUUUUCCCUUCCAAGUUAUUUUUUCGUUUUCCCUAUAAAUUUGUUAUUUUUAUUUUUAUUUCAUAAUUUCGUUUUUUUAAACAUUUUCGUUAAAUCUUCAGAAUUUCAAAUUUUGUUCUGAUUUUCAUAAAUAUUUGAAACUUUAAUCUUUUUUCUCGUUCCAAAUUGGUUCAAAAUUCAAAAAAUGUUCAUAUUUCUUAAUAAAAACCAAAAUUGUUUGAUAAUUUUAAAAUAAAUUGUAUUUUUUAAAAUAAUAGAAAUUCAAAAAAUAUUCCUUUUUAUUGAAAUGUUAACAAAUUCAAAAUAAUGUUCAUGAUUAAAGCGUGUUUCUGAAAAUGGUUUUGAAUGUUCAAAACAAGUUUCCAUUUUCAAAAUUGUUCACAAAUUCAAAAAAUGUCCGUUUCUCGGCCUUAAAAAUGGUUCCUGUUUUCAAAAAAUGUUUGUGAAAUUAAAAAAGAUCUUCCUAUUUCAAAUUUUGUUUGCCUUUUUCCAGAAAUUAGCAAUUUUUUUCAACAAAAUGCUCGUUUUUUAUAAUAAAAUCAGAAGGCCACCACAACCUCGACAAGGAGGUGGACCUGAAGGGAAAAAAGGCACGAGUUGGGUAGUGGCCGCCACUCCGACCAUCCCCACUACUAUAAAGAUCUCACAGGCCAAACAUUACCCGUGAAAACACUACAGCUCUACGCUUUGUUGCCCCACUGUUGUGGAAACCGUUUUGAUGGACACAUCAAUUAUCUCUCCCGAUGCUUCUCACAAAAAAAUCUCUCCCGUUGCAACGCAUGGGCAUAUGUGCUAGUAUAAAUAAAUUCAUGUGGGUUGGGGGGAGGGGGCAAUGCCCCCCCCCCCCGCCCUCAACAUAGCUCCGCCACUAGGGAGGCGUCGAUUAGGAGGUAUCUAGUUUACCAUACCCUCCUGAGAUUCCAAGAUGAUGCUUUUCGUUAUUAUGUAGAUCAAAGCCACUUUGCUUGCUAUUCGUAACACAAGACGCCUGCCAUGGCCCACGGACCAUGAAAUAAAAGCCAAUGCAGAUAUUCUUCACUGGCUCCAAGCAACGGUUGGGUUUCAGCUAACCUUUUGCUUUCAUUACUAGUAAACAUGCAUGUGCGUUGCAACGAGACAAACAAACUCUCGCACCUAGUGAGUUUGCGAAUAUUCAAAGUCGUGGACGAGCUCGCCUGGUCUUGGUAUCGUGAGGCGUCGACUCGUUUCGGGAUACCGGACGCCAUGGUAUUCUAGGUCGUGUACAGGGGCUUAUGUAAUGCAUAUAUUGGACCAAAGAGACGACGUUGUACAGUGGAUGGCAAGGAACGUUGCAGAGCUAGUGACGGUGUUUUGGUUCUGUGUACAAUAUAUUUUGGAGGGUUUGGCUGGUAUGGUCGUUGGGGCUGAUCACAUAUAGGUCUGCGAAACAAAAGCAUAUACUUUUUAUUAGACUAGAACAAUGUCUGUGCGUUGCAACGGAAUAUAAAAAUUCUAGUUAUGUUAACCUGUGAUUUACCUGUCCAUGAUAUACGAUUGUGUAAAUAAAUGUUCAUCAAAUCCCGCAUGUGAUUUACCUUAUAUUUGGUCAGAAGUGAUUUACAUGCCUAUAGUAUGCGAUUCCGUAAAUAAAUGUUCAUCAAAUUCUGCCAGUGAUUUACCUUAUAUUUUGAUCAGAAGUUUGGUAAGUAAAUUAAAAUGGAAUUGGUUCAGAAGGUAAGUAAAUUAAUACGAUUGAUUAUUAUACGGGGAAGGUUGGACGAAGGAGUGGUGAGAAAAAGGUGAAACGAGAACCUUACGUCCUUUCAAGUAGUAGAGAUUUAGCUUAUAUUUUGAUCAAAAGUUUGGUAAGUAAAUUAAAAUAAAAUUGGUUCAGAAGGUAAGUAAAUUAAUAUGAUUGAUUAUUAUACAGGGAAGGUUGGAUGAAGGAGUGUGAGUAGAAAGGUGAAACGGGAACCUUACGUUAUUUUUAAGUAAGUAGAGAUUUAGCUUAUAUUUUGAUCAAAAAUUUGGUAAGUAAAUUAAAAUAAAAUUGGUCCAGAAGGUAAGUAAAUUAAUAUGAUUAAUUACGGGGAAGGUUGGACGAAGGAGUGGUGAGAAGGAAGGUGAAAGGGUAACUUUACAUUCUUUUUAAGUAGUAGAGAUAGAGAAGUAGAGAUUUAGCUUGUAUUUUGAUCAGAAGUUUGGUAAGUAAAUUAAAAUAAAAUUGGUUCAGAAGGUAAGUAAAUUAAUAUGAUUGAUUAUUAUACGGGGAAGGUUGGACGAAGGAGUGGUGAAAAGAAAGGUGAAACGGGAACCCUAUAUUCUUUUUAAGUAGUAGAGGUAGAGAUAGAGAUACUAUAGUAAUCUUUUAUAUUUAACGAUAGUAGUGUACGGCCCUACCCCCUUGAGGCUCGGGGUGGUUGCCCUUUUUGCCCGGCCUUAGGAUCCAGAUCUUAAACAAGAAUCUAUUUACAUGAAAGUGCAAAGUCAAGUCGGCACACCUUCUCCAUUCUCACUAGUAUAAUUAUCAUGAGGCACCAAACAAGGGGUUGGGAUUAAAAGUCUAUUUUCCACGUCUAAAUCCCCUAGCAAACUCCCACCAUCUAGUCCCAUUCUGUUACAAACAGUAUAAAAUUUGCCAUUAAUUUAAUUCCUCUCAUUAGUACGUACAGGAGCAAAAUAAACAUGCACAUGCAUUUCUUCAGAAGCAUGGAGACUAGUUCCAAUAAGGAACACAUCAAUAGCAGCAAACCAUGUAUAAUUAGCUUGCAAAGAACAACAUUACAUGAAGCGCUAGAGCUGUCUACCAGGCUAGUGUCGACAGAGCAUAGGGCGCUGAACACACACUAGUGGCAGGAACAACAGAACAGACUCUAAAACACUAGAAGGACCUUGUAUGGAAACUGCUAGAGCAUACACAGAUUAAUCUAGUAUGAGCAAAGACCAUAUGCAACUUACAGACUAGACGUCGUUGCACAGGUGUUCGUCGAUGGAGUUUACCGGAGACGAUGUCAUCAAGGACGUCGACGAAGGAGCGGUCGUCGAGGACGGUGACGAAGGAGCGGUCACAUGGACGUUGCCUAGAAAACUUUAGACCGCCCCAUGCAGGGUUGAAGGAUGCGGCGGAAGUCACAGAGACACCGCUCACCGGAUUGCUGUUGCACGCUGGACAUCACGAUCGGCUUCGUUCAGAAGGCUGCUCAGCACUAGUGGUGCACGAGAAAGAAGAUGAAGAUAUGAUGUGUUUAUCUCCCGAUUCUCUCUGCACUUUUAGCAUAAUUGGUUUGAUGCCAAAAGUUGGCAUGCCAAAUUUUAGCAGAUGCCAAAUAUUGGCUAGAGAUUGGUUGCUUGCCAAUUUUCAUUGUCAAUCUCACAAAAAAUUGCCAAAUGUUGGCAACUUCUAAUUUUACCAAAUGUUGGCUUGCCAAAUAUUGGCAAUGCCAAAUGUUAGUAGCAAACCAAUUAUGUACAGAUUAUGCGAGCAACGUUUUAAUGAAACGUCUUGCCGAGCGAAGAGCGUUGCACUCACACGUCCUGGUUGAGGACCCAGGGAGGAGUUGCAGCUUGACGAACGGCCAGCAACGUGCGUGCAUGGAGUUUCAGUUUGUUACGUGACAGGAUAUGCUCAAGCAUUUUGCCGCAAAAAAAAAAAAAGGAUAUGCUCAAGCAUCAGACUGGGAAUUAUCUGAACUGAUGCAUGUGUCCAUGCAAUAUUUCCAACUCAUUUCUGUUCCCUAAGAGUAUGAAACACGCAGUGAAGAAUGCAGUGCAUAGAUUUGAGUUUUCCUUUUUUUUUAAUAGGAGUACUUCUUAAGCAUGAAAUAUGUUCUACUCCCUCAGUUUGGAAUUUUCUUGUUAGGAAUAUAAUAGUAUUAGUAUUUGGCUAAUUAGGCGAUUAGCAGAUUCUUUAGAAUAUUCUAACCGGUAGUUAGAAUCCUGGCGUUGUCCAGACGCAGUAGAUAGCGAACCAUCGCCAUGUUUUUUUCAAACCAGCGUUGUGUCUUUCCGAAACGACGCGAACCUUGUAAUCGGCAUGUAAACACGACGGCUCGGGACAUAUAAGUACCUGCAGUCACUAUCAAUGAAAUCAAUCCUUUCACUUCAAUCUUUCUUGUUUCUCUUCAUUUCUCAUCUAUUUCCGUGACAAGUAAUUGAGGGAGUCGGUGGCUUUGCUGCAAAACUGAAGACUGGCACAAGAUCCGUGUACACGGCGUAGCACAUUCCGGGACGAUACCGCAUAUGUGCGAAUGUGCGAUUACUUAUCAAUCCCGACCCCAUUUGCCUCGUCUCCUUUCUUCUUCUUAUUAAAAGCCAUUUUGGUUACGGAUGGAUAUGAGAAGAAAAAUUUAGAGCCUUGCGUGCCCACACCGCCCUUGACCACACCCCACCACCAACCGCCCUCCCCUUGGCGAUCCCCACACACUUGCCCAACCAACCACACUUGUCCCACGCCUCUCCUCCUCCUCUCCUCUCGCCUUGUACGAGUCUCACCUUGCUGCGUCCAUCCACCCACCGACCAUCCACCACUUCCCCCAAAGUCUCCUCCUUUCUCCCUUCUCAGCCAAGCAACCAAGCGAUCUCGCCGAUGAAGAGGGAGGGGUUCCAGCACGGCGCCGUCCGGGUCAACCGCAACAAGCUGCUGCGGGUCGCCGGCGGCACCAACGGCGACGCGGCGGCCGCGGCGCUGGAGCUCGCCGGCGUCGCCUACGCCAGGGCGCCGUCCAAGCCGACCAACGCGUCCAGGGACACGGGCCGGUGCCGGCGGCCCCGGUGCGCCGGCUGCCACGUGCACCCCGCCGCCAAGGCCCGGGACAAGGCCAAGGGCGCCCACAAGCUGCGCGCCUCCGACGUCGCGCUCAACCACCGCCUCGUCUCCUGGCGCCUCGUCGACGGGGACCCCGCCGCCGCCGCCGCCCGCACCGGCGGCGUGCCCGACUACAAGGGCGCCUCCGCGUCCGCCGUGCUCGCCUACCUCGCCGGCGGCAACAGCUGGCACGCCGAGGACGAGGAGGAGGACGAUGACGGCGCAGAUCUUCAGGCCCCCCCAAGGGGGAUCUCCGACCUGUACGACCUCAUCGUCGGCCUCCAGGCCCGCGCGGCCCCUGCGCCGGGCGGCCCAGAAGACGAC